AAGACCACACAGACGGUCUGGUUCAAGACAUCAAGUGAGGUAUUAACACAGGGCAAAUAUAGGGACCGGUUCUGGAUAUCGGAAAUACCCUUUCGAGUGGCUCGGUGGAGGACGUCCAGGGCAAAACCAGCACAGCACUUCAGUAAAAGAUUCACGCAGGGUUGGACUUGUUCUUGGAUAAAAGGACUUAUUUGCUCGUCUAGAGGAUCUGGCAUAACAAGCUCACCUCGACAAAGAAGACGAGGUUUUCUAGCAGAGAGGGCUGCGCCCUGCAUCGGCCAUCCGUCACUUCCACGUCUCACCGAAUUGCAGGCCGUGACGGUAGUGUGCCCUGAGCUCAUGGAUAAGGGCCAGUUUGCCGUCGGUGCU